AUUGAACGCUGGCGGCAGGCCUAACACAUGCAAGUCGAACGAGUGGCGGACGGGUGAGUAAUGUCUGGGAAACUGCCUGAUGGAGGGGGAUAACUACUGGAAACGGUAGCUAAUACCGCAUACCAUCGGAUGUGCCCCUAUGGGAUUAGCGAUUAGGUGGGGUAAAGGCUCACCUAGUCGACGAUCCCUAGCUGGUCUGAGAGGAUGACCAGCCAAACUGGAAAUGAGACACGGUCCAGACGCCUACGGGAGGCAGCAGUGGGGAAUAUUGCACAAUGGGCGAAAGCCUGAUGCAGCCAUGUCGCGUGUAUGAAGAAGGCCUUAGGGUUGUAGAGUACUUUCAGCGGGGAGGCGUUACCCGCAGAAGAAGCACCGGCAAACUCCGUGCCAGCAACCGGGGUAAUAC
rnacentral:rRNA from 1 species